rnacentral:lncRNA from 1 species
AGGCAGGAGAAUUGCUUGAACCAGGGAGUGGGAGCUUGCAGUGAGCCGAGUUCAUGCCACUGCACUCCAGCCUGGGUGACAGGCUGUCUCAAAAAAAAAAAAAGGAAUAAUCUGUACGGCUUUCAGUAUUUAUAUUUGAUUAUAAGGGAACACAGCCUGACCAAAUAAUUAUGUAUACACAUUCAAGGACAGAAUUUAUUUUAAUUAAAAAUAAAUUAUGAGAGAAGGAAAAAAAAGCACAGUUUUUACUUUCAGAACACAGUCCUUUUUUGUGGUGAUUUUGCUUUCUUUAGAACAUUCUUGGAAUCUUAUUAACAUGUCAGCUAACCAGAGAAUUUUGGGAAGGGAUAGUGGGGAUUAAUAACUGGGUUUUUCCAGGCUCCAAGAUCUAAGAAGACAGAGAUCUUGUUAGCUGAUUAGUGUAGUAAGAUUAAAUAAAUAAUUUAAGGUUUACAUUGCAUCAUGUAUUAUGAUUGUGAUUGAGAAUAAUAAGAGUUUAAAAAAAUGAAAAACAAGAUCUCUGUAAUUUGAGGAUGAAACAAUGGUUCUAAUAUUAAUACACACAAAUAUAUUUUAUAAUCUUGUAACAAAUCCUUCCAGGGGAAAUUUUUUUUUUUUUUUUUUUUUUUUUUUUUUGAGCCAGAGUCUGGCUCUGUUGCCCAGACUGGAGUGCGGUGUUUCAAUCUUGACUCACUGCAACCUCCACCUCCUGGGUUCAAAAGAUCCUUCUGCCUCCGCCUCCCAAGUAGCUGGGAUUACAGGCAUGCACCACCUUGUCCGGGUAAUUUUUGUAUUUUUAGUGGAGACAAGGUUUUACCAUUUUGGCCAGACUGGUCUGGAACUCCUGACCUCAGGUCAUCCACCUGCCUCGGCCUCCCAGAGUGCUAGGAUUACAGGCAUGAGCCACUGCUCCCAGCCUUCCAGAGGAAUUUUAAGCCCAUGUCCAAACAUUCUGUUUGUAUAAAUAUAUUCUAAUUUUUAAAUAAAUAGUUUCUACUUUUCUGAACUUUAUAUUUUUUCUUGCUAUAAUGGAUUUUCAUAAUCAGAAAAGAUUAAAUUAGUAAUCAUGAAUUGCCUUCAAUAUUUGGCAGUAAGUCAAUGAAAUAAUAAGGCACUUAUAUACCAUCUUUGACAUCAUUAAAAGUAUCAAAUCCCAUUAAUCUAAAACUUCUUUAAGCAUUUUGAAAGCAGAAAAUGUUUACAUGGUUCUUUCAGUUCCUCAGGCUUUUUGUCUAAUGAUGCGUGACUUAGGAUAAGAUUUGAAUUAAGUGCCCAGCUUGAAACAUAAUAAUUUUUCUGUAUAAGCCACAGAUCCUCUACCUCCUUUGUGUUAAAGCCUUUAUAUGAAACAAUUAAGUAGAAGCAUUCAAUAGUGUGUCAUUAACUGUUCAUACUAAUAAAUGGAUACAGCACAUUUUCAUGGCCUGUAAUGUAGAACAUACUAUAUAAAGUUCUCAGUUUGGGGAUGACUAGGUUUCUGGAAGGAAUAGAAUGCUAAAUCAAUGGAUGGCAUUGGGCUGAGAAACACUGCUGCUACUAAUCAGCCUUGAAUGUGUAAUGUGAACAUGCAAAAGAGAACAUGCAUACACUCAAAUUUGUACAAUGCUAUAACUGGAAGUUGAAGGACUUGAAUUUUUAUAUUGUGCUAUUGUUAUGUUUUCUGUAAUUGUUUAUAUCUAAGGAAUUUUUGAGGUAAUAUAAAAGAAAAAGAGAAUAAUGAACAAUGAUGUCACUGGAGGGUUUUUACAUUAAAUUAGAUCAUUUUUCUUCUUAUUCACAAUAAUAAUCUUAAUCUUUAAGAAUUAAUUAUAAUUUAAUAUUAUAAUUCAUAAUCUUUAAGAAUUAAUAAUUAUAAUUUAAUAUUAUAAUUAAUAAUCUUUAAGAAUUAAUAAUAUAAUUUAAUAUUAUAAUUAAUAAUCUUUAAGAAUUAAUAAUUACAAUUAAUAAUUAAUAAUAAUCUUAAUCUUUAAGAAUUAAUAAUAAUCCUUAAUCGCAAUAAUAAUCGCAAGGAGGAGAAGUAAGUCCCUCCUCCUUCUGUAUGAACUUUUCUCCCACAUGCUGCUGUAUGGUUUAGUGAGAGUGAAGUUCUAAAGAACAUCAAUAUGAUUGGUGGGAUAAUCCAAAGACAUUUUUUCAGAAUCAAAUGGCAUGUCGAAGGUUUGUUUCUUGCAUAUGUAUUUACUGGUCCACAGCACAAAAUAAAGUGACCACAUAUACAUAGGAAAGUUGAAUUUGUACACAUACAGCAUCUGAAAUGUAUCUGAUGUUCAGCAUCAAGAUUUCACUGAACAUUGUAGAAAUGUGUAUCUUUUGCAUGUAUAUUUUACAUUGAUUUUCUAUUUAUGUACAUCUAGAAAGUUUUAACCCUAAUAAAUAGUUUUGUAAUUUUGAAUAAUAGUGUCAGUUUAUAUGUGAGGGAGUAGAGACAGAGAGGUUAGCACUGGAUAAUAAUUAGUAAGGCCAAAGGAGAAAAUUUCAUAGAAAAUAUUGUUGUUGUCAUAAUGAGUACAGCAUGAAAGGCUUCCUCUACAAGACACUAGUCAAAGAGUUGAGAGCUGCGGUUUCUAAUCUUUGUCCAUUACUCCCUUACUCCCUAUGAGACUGUGGACCUGUCACUUGGCCUCUCUGGUCUUCAGUUUUCUCACCAGUAAAACAAGGAACUUGAACCAAAUGACCUCUAGUGUUCCCCUUGGGUUUAAAUGUCUAUAAAUGUUCAAUGACUAGAAUGUAUUGCGUUUUUCUUUAUUCUUUUUGCUUUGAGAAAAGAGAAUGUGAUUUAAGAGUAAUAAUUUGAAUACCAAUUAUCCACAUUAAAAUUGUGUCCUCUAUGUGUAAGGCAUAGCACAUUUAGCACACAUACAUAAGCACACUAAGCACCUUACAAAUAUCCUCAUUUAUUCUUUACAUAAUCUUUUGAAAUUGAUUAUGUAAUACACACUGUUUUUGAACAAUUGGUGACUUCCAGCUGUUUAAAACAAACUACAGUAUGGUGCUUGAGUACUGACUUAGGAGGUCAGCAUUGGUUUCACUAGGAGCUUCUCAAAGCACGCUGCCAAACAUGCUCCAGUCUCAUUGUCAAGGCCUUAGACCAGGCAAUCAUUACGGCAGUGGUUCUUCAACUUCAGCAGCAGCAAAACGAUCUGGCGGGGGCUUGGUGAAACAGACUGCUGGGCUCGACCACCAGAAUUUCUCAUUCAGAGGGUCUGGCCUGAUCACUUGCAUUUCUAAUCACUUCCCAGGUGAUGCAGAUGUUUCUGGUCCAGGGACCCCAGUUUGAGAACCACUGUAUUAAAAUUUCCUUCAUCUCUAUAGAAAUGGAAAGAUUUUUUAUAAGUCCUCUAAUUUGCUUUAAGAUAAAUGAGAUUUCACUUAAUUCUGUUGGAGAAAUUGUUUUAAAAAUUGUGCUAAAGAACCGAAAAUCACUUUAUGUUAAGGCUCUAUUUAUAGCAAGUGAACUUUUCAUGAGUUAAUAAAGGCCUACAAAAAUAAUUUUGACUGUGAAACUAAUUAAAAUCUCUGUGUUUCAUUUAAAGCAUAAACAUAUUUGAAUAAAAAUAGGUUAACAAUAAUUUGGGACAUGUAUUCAGUAUAAUUUUAAGAUAAUUUUACAAAAUAUAUGUAACAUUGCAUUUGUUUCUGUAAAAUAUCUUCGGAAAAAGCCUUGUUUUCCCUAGUGUGUUAUUUGUUGAAUUUCUUGUUAAAUGUAUUUUUUCCCAUUGAAAAAAAUGUUUUUAAUCAAUGUGAUCAAUACAGCUAUCUAUAUGCCCUGCUUUCACUGUAGAAUUAGAAAGUGUUAAUAAGGUGAUCGGAUGUUCUUUCUAAGGAUCAUAUUCCACAUUUAAAGAGAUGGUGACUGAGAAGAGGUGGCAAGCUGAACCAUCUCACUUUGAGAUUGACGUAUCACGUUUUAUCCUCUGCCAUCAUUUCCUUGUUAAUUGUUUUUCUUUGGGUGAUUGGAAGAAUCUAUGGCUUCCUUUUCUCUGUUCUUAAAGAUAUCAAGACUCUGCCCUUUUGUGACUGGAAGUAGAUUUUAAAUGUCCCUAAUGUUUAUAUGCUCACUUAAACUCAAUACAUGGAAUUUACUGGGGCAUUUAACUUGUUCAUGAAAAUAGAGUGAGUCAUUGAAAAAUCAAAUCUUUAGUUAUGAUUAAGUUAUUGUUUUUACCUAAACUGGUUCUACCAAACUCACUCUUUAAAGCAGAAUCUGGAAUUGGCAAGUCUGAUGUAAUGCUGAUCUUACACAUAUUAGAUUAAAUGACCUAAUAGAACCAGC